UGAGCCUUGAUGUGUAGGAUAGGUGGGAGGCUUUGAAGUGUGGACGCCAGUCUGCAUGGAGCCAACCUUGAAAUACCACCCUUUAAUGUUUGAUGUUCUAACGUGGACCCGUGAUCCGGGUUGCGGACAGUGUCUGGUGGGUAGUUUGACUGGGGCGGUCUCCUCCUAAAGAGUAACGGAGGAGCACGAAGGUUGGCUAAUCCUGGUCGGACAUCAGGAGGUUAGUGCAAUGGCAUAAGCCAGCUUGACUGCGAGCGUGACGGCGCGAGCAGGUGCGAAAGCAGGUCAUAGUGAUCCGGUGGUUCUGAAUGGAAGGGCCAUCGCUCAACGGAUAAAAGGUACUCCGGGGAUAACAGGCUGAUACCGCCCAAGAGUUCAUAUCGACGGCGGUGUUUGGCACCUCGAUGUCGGCUCAUCACAUCCUGGGGCUGAAGUAGGUCCCAAGGGUAUGGCUGUUCGCCAUUUAAAGUGGUACGCGAGCUGGGUUUAGAACGUCGUGAGACAGUUCGGUCCCUAUCUGCCGUGGGCGCUGGAGAACUGAGGGGGGCUGCUCCUAGUACGAGAGGACCGGAGUGGACGCAUCACUGGUGUUCGGGUUGUCAUGCCAAUGGCACUGCCCGGUAGCUAAAUGCGGAAGAGAUAAGUGCUGAAAGCAUCUAAGCACGAAACUUGCCCCGAGAUGAGUUCUCCCUGAGACUUAGAGUCUCCUGAAGGAACGUUGAAGACGACGACGUUGAUAGGCCGGGUGUGUAAGCGCAGCGAUGCGUUGAGCUAACCGGUACUAAUGAACCGUGAGGCUUAACC
rnacentral:rRNA from 1 species